rnacentral:rRNA from 1 species
GUGGGGAAUUUUGGACAAUGGGCGCAAGCCUGAUCCAGCAAUGCCGCGUGCAGGAAGAAGGCCUUCGGGUUGUAAACUGCUUUUGUACGGAACGAAAAGGCUCUGGCUAAUACCUGGAGCUCAUGACGGUACCGUAAGAAUAAGCACCGGCUAACUACGUGCCAGCAGCCGCGGUAAUACGUAGGGUGCGAGCGUUAAUCGGAAUUACUGGGCGUAAAGCGUGCGCAGGCGGUGCUGUAAGACAGGCGUGAAAUCCCCGGGCUCAACCUGGGAAUUGCGCUUGUGACUGCAGUGCUGGAGUGCGGCAGAGGGGGAUGGAAUUCCGCGUGUAGCAGUGAAAUGCGUAGAUAUGCGGAGGAACACCGAUGGCGAAGGCAAUCCCCUGGGCCUGCACUGACGCUCAUGCACGAAAGCGUGGGGAGCAAACAGGAUUAGAUACCCCAGUAGUCC